UUUAAAGAGUGCGUAAUAGCUCACUAGUCGAGUGACACUGCGCCGAAAAUGUACCGGGGCUAAACAUAUUACCGAAGCUGUGGAUUGUCCGUAGGACAAUGGUAGGAGAGCGUUCUAAGGGCGUUGAAGCAUGAUCGCAAGGACAUGUGGAGCG
rnacentral:rRNA from 1 species